CGUUAACAAGACAACAGUGCUAACUACUACGUAUAAUUAUAACACCAGCAAUGCAGUUGCAUACCAGCUGAAGAAUUGCUCAUUUGUCGAUGAUACAGUUAUCUUCACUAACAAUAGAAGCUGCACACUAAUGAGCGUGCCAUCUCAAAAUAAUUGCAAAGGGUGCGAACUUUGGGCUAGUGAGGAGCACGUGAGAAACCGCACGGUGCCCCGGUGUUGUUACUUCUUGUAUGAUCUACUCUGCGAAAAUGAAGGCUACUAUUAUGA